AAUUGGCGAGUGAUGUACAGCAUAGUUCAGAUGAAAUGGCUGUAUAGCAAUUUUAUGAUUAUUAUCUGCUCAAAGUCUUUCGCUCCUAUCUGACGCCAAUA